AUAAUAGCCACCAAUUUUAGAUAAUUACAAGAGAUAAUACGAAUUCAUGUAAAUUGUUUUCUAAUUGCCAUUUAAACUUUUAUCAUAAAACAUAUCCAUAAACCAACCGUGUGUGUUCCCGCGCACAGGAUAGAUCUUUGUUUUCAUUGACGAAAACCUGAAAUAUCUGACAAAUAUGUUUAUCUCUUUCCUUACAUUUGAUUAAAGAAUUUUAUAUUUUCA
rnacentral:lncRNA from 1 species